rnacentral:tRNA from 1 species
UGGCUCAGUGGUAGAGUGCUUGCCUUACAUGCAUGAGGCCCUGGGUUCAAUUCCUCAG